rnacentral:tmRNA from 2 species
GGGGCUGCCUUGGUAUUGACAGUAUUGACAUUGGUAGGUAAGCGUGUCGAGCCUUGCCAUAUUUGCUCGUUAACCGAAUGGGUAAAAAUUUUAAGUGGCGACUAUAGCUACAAGCUUGCUGCCUAAUCCAAGGGAUUAAGCAUAAGCAGUCUCCGUUCCUGCCCCGUGCCGUUUCGUUUGGUUUGUGCCCGCAGGACGAGGCUUCAUAACCCUCAAACCGAAAUAGCUGUUCGAGUUGCCCGGCAAAACAGCAAAUCUUAGGGCAUAAGGUAUAAAUUGGUAAGUGUUGCCCCGUUUUAUACCCUACAAUUAACGCAGCACUACACACGUAGAAAGCCUAUGGGUGCUUUAUCUGGACGAGGGUUCGACUCCCUCCAGCUCCACUC